rnacentral:rRNA from 1 species
UACGGGGGGAGCAAGCGUUGUUCGGAUUUACUGGGCGUAAAGAGCUCGUAGGCGGUUUGGUAAGUCAGGUGUGAAAUCUCCACGCUCAACGUGGAGGGGCCACCUGAUACUGCCAUGACUGGAGUCCGGUAGAGGAGUGUGGAAUUCCUGGUGUAGCGGUGAAAUGCGCAGAUAUCAGGAGGAACACCAAUGGCGAAGGCAGCACUCGUGGGACGUGACUGACGCUGAGACGCGAAAGCGUGGGGAGCAAACAGG